GACGAACGCUGGCGGCGUGCUUAACACAUGCAAGUCGAACGGAAAGGCCCUGCUUGCCGGGUGCUCGAGUGGCGAACGGGUGAGUAACACGUGGGUGAUCUGCCCCUUACUUUGGGAUAAGCCUGGGAAACUGGGUCUAAUACUGGAUAGGACCAUGCUGUAGGUGGUGUGGUGGAAAGAUUAGUUUCGGUAAGGGAUGAGCUCGCGGCCUAUCAGCUUGUUGGUGGGGUAAUGGCCUACCAAGGCGUCGACGGGUAGCCGGCCUGAGAGGGUGGACGGCAACGUUGGGACUGGGAUACGGCGCAGACGCCUACGGGGGGCAGCAGUGGGGAAUAUUGCAAAAUGGGCGCAAGCCUGAUGCAGCGACGGCGCGGGGGGGAUGACGGCCUUCGGGUUGUAAACUCCUUUCAGCCAUGACGAAGCCCUUGUGGUGACGGUAGUGGUAGAAGAAGCACCGGCUAACUACGUG
rnacentral:rRNA from 1 species